rnacentral:rRNA from 1 species
GACGAACGCUGGCGGCGUGCUUAACACAUGCAAGUCGAACGGAAAGGCCCUGCUUUUGUGGGGUGCUCGAGUGGCGAACGGGUGAGUAACACGUGAGUAACCUGCCCUUGACUUUGGGAUAACUUCAGGAAACUGGGGCUAAUACCGGAUAGGAGCUCCUGCUGCAUGGUGGGGGUUGGAAAGUUUCGGCGGUUGGGGAUGGACUCGCGGCUUAUCAGCUUGUUGGGGGGGUAGUGGCUUACCAAGGCUUUGACGGGUAGCCGGCAUGAGAGGGUGACCGGCAACAUUGGGACUGAGAUACGGCCCAGACUCCUACGGGAGGCAGCAGUGGGGAAUAUUGCACAAUGGGCGGAAGCCUGAUGCAGAAACGCCGCGUGCGGGAUGACGGCCUUCGGGUUGUAAACCGCUUUCGCCUGUGACGAAGCGUGAGUGACGGUAAUGGGUAAAGAAGCACCGGCUAACUACGUG